GACGAACGCUGGCGGCGUGCUUAACACAUGCAAGUCGAACGGAAAGGCCCUGCUUUUGUGGGGUUCUCGAGUGGCGAACGGGUGAGUAACACUUGAGUAACCUGCCCUUUACUUUGUGAUAACUUCAGGAAACUGGGGCUAAUACCGGAUAUGAUCUCCUGCUGCUUGUUGGUUGUUGGAAAGUUUCGGCGUUUGGGGAUUGACUCGCGGCUUAUCAGCUUGUUGGUGGGGUAGUGGCUUACCAAGGCUUUGACGGGUAGCCGGCAUGAGAGGGUGACCGGAAAAAUUGGGACGGAGAUACGGCCCAGAAUCCUAGGGGAGGCAGCAGUGGGGAAUAUUGCAGAAUGGGCGGAAGCCUGAUGAAGAAACGCCGCGUGCGGGAUGACGGCCUUCGGGUUGUAAACAGAUUUAGCAUGUGACGAAGAGUGAGUGACGGUAAUGGGUAAAGAAGCACCGGCUAACUACGUG
rnacentral:rRNA from 1 species